GGAUGCGAUCACACCAGCACUAAAGCACCGGAUCCCGUCAG
rnacentral:rRNA from 1 species